rnacentral:rRNA from 1 species
AUACGUAGGGGGCGAGCGUUGUCCGGAAUGAUUGGGCGUAAAGGGCGCGUAGGCGGCCCGGUAAGUCUGGAGUGAAAGUCCUGUUUUUAAGAUGGGAAUUGCUUUGGAUACUGUCGGGCUUGAGUGCAGGAGAGGUAAGUGGAAUUCCCAGUGUAGCGGUGAAAUGCGUAGAGAUUGGGAGGAACACCAGUGGCGAAGGCGGGUAACUGGACUGCAACUGACGCUGAGGCGCGAAAGUGUGGGGAGCAAACAGGAUUAGAUACCCUGGUAGUCCACACUGUAAACGAUGAUGGCUAACCGCUGGAUCCAUCGGUUCAGUGGCCAAGCGAAAGCGAUAAGCCAUCCACCUGGGGAGUACGACCGCAAGGUUGAAACUCAAAGGAAUUGACGGGG